rnacentral:tRNA from 7 species
GCGCCUGUAGCUCAGUCGGAUAGAGCGAUAGACUUCGAAUCUAAAGGUCGGGGGUUCGAUUCCCUCCAGGCGCGCCA